UGGGGAAUAUUGCACAAUGGGCGCAAGCCUGAUGCAGCCAUGCCGCGUGUGUGAAGAAGGCCUUCGGGUUGUAAAGCACUUUCAGCGAGGAGGAAGGGUGGUGUGUUAAUAGCGCAUCACAUUGACAUUACUCGCAGAAGAAGCACCGGCUAACUCCGUGCCAGCAGCCGCGGUAAUACGGAGGGUGCAAGCGUUAAUCGGAAUUACUGGGCGUAAAGCGCACGCAGGCGGUUUGUUAAGUCAGAUGUGAAAUCCCCGCGCUUAACGUGGGAACUGCAUUUGAAACUGGCAAGCUAGAGUCUUGUAGAGGGGGGUAGAAUUCCAGGUGUAGCGGUGAAAUGCGUAGAGAUCUGGAGGAAUACCGGUGGCGAAGGCGGCCCCCUGGACAAAGACUGACGCUCAGGUGCGAAAGCGUGGGGAGCAAACA
rnacentral:rRNA from 1 species